UAGUAAACAUAAAGUGAUGCCCAGGCAGCUGAUCAAAGUAAACUCAAAUAACUUUCAGUAUCAGAUUAUCAAAUCAGAUUAUUGGAUCAGUUGUCAGAUUAUUGGAUCAGUUGUCAGAUUAUUGGAUCAGGUAUCAGAUUAUUGGAUCAGUUAUCAGAUUAUUGGAUCAGUAGUCAGAUUAUUGGAUCAGUUGUCAGAUUAUUGGAUCAGUAGUCAGAUUAUUGGAUCAGGUAUCAGAUUAUUGGAUCAGUUAUCAGAUUAUUGGAUCAGUAGUCAGAUUAUUGGAUCAGUUAUCAGAUUAUUGCAUCAGAUAUCAGAUUAUUGGAUCAGUUAUCAGAUUAUUGGACCAGUUAUCAGAUUAUUGGAUCAGUUAUCAGAUUAUUGGAUCAGUUAUCAGAUUAUUGGACCAGUUAUCAGAUUAUUGGAUCAGUUAUCAGAUUAUUGGAUCAGUUAUCAGAUUAUUGGACCAGUUGUCAGAUUAUAGAAUCAGUUAUCAGAUUAUUGGACCAGUUGUCAGAUUAUUGGAUCAGUUAUCAGAUUAUUGGACCAGUUGUCAGAUUAUUGGACCAGUUAUCAGACUAUUGGAUCAGUUAUCAGAUUAUUGGAUCAGUUAUCAGAUUAUUGGACCAGUUAUCAGAUUAUUGGACCAGUUAUCAGAUUAUUGGAUCAGGUAUCAGAUUAUUGGAUCAGGUAUCAGAUUAUUGGAUCAGGUAUCAGAUUAUUGGACCAGUUGUCAGAUUAUAGGAUCAGGUAUCAGAUUAUUGGAUCAGGUAUCAGAUUAUUGGAUCAGGUAUCAGAUUAUUGGAUCAGGUAUCAGAUUAUUGGAUCAGUUGUCAGAUUAUAGGAUCAGGUAUCAGGUUUCCGCGGCAGCAGAAACAUCACAUCCAUCCUCUGGUUGCUAAACUUGAAGGAAGCGACAGAGACUGAAGAAACUGCUGGGAAACCACAGUCUAGUUCCUGGAACAUUAGGGAAAACUGUGGACUAAUUCCUGGAACAUUAGGGAAAACUGUGGACUAAUUCCUGGAACAUUAGGGAAAACUGUGGACUAAUUCCUGGAACAUUAGGACAAAGCAUCCAGGGUUUGGACUGAUGGGACACACAGACAAACAGACUUUUGAACAUUUUGUUCAGGUGGGAUAUUUAUUAUUUUUGUUAAUUUAUUUUUUUGAUGGAUUCUAUUUAUUGUGGGAGGAUGUACACAGAUUUCUUAGUUUGUACAGCAAAUAUGAGAAGAAAGUGCUCAGCUACACACAUUUCAUCACGUCAUAGCCAUGUCCCGGCUGGGAGACACCAACCUUCAGAAGCUUGUUGGUUAUUAAUCUUCAAACAAACUUAUUUUAUUCAAAUCUAAUUGUUUUUUGUUCAGAAACGACAGAAAAAGAAAYAUUAAACUUUUACACUUGAACUGAUUUCCUGUUUAAUUGGAAUGGGAUGGACUUAAGUAGGCCCCUCCCACUCCAGCAAGCUUCUGAUUGCUGAUUGGUUGUGCUGACAGUGACAGUGGGGGUCUGUAUCCUAGCAGCAGCAGGUCACUGGACUCUGGGCGGGGAAGUUUUUAUUGUAUGAUAAUAUGAAUCUUACUAUUCUAAUUAUUAUUUUUUAUUUAUUUAUUUUUUUAUCUCAGGCGGUACCUCUCAGCUGGAGCUUGGAUCCAGUCAGAACUUUCUGGAUCUUGAACUUGCUGUGUAAACAUGUGCUGGUUGUGGUUCUGACCCUCCGGCUGUGAGGCCCKUCUGGAUCUUGUGUCUUAGUUCAGGACAGGGUGGUCCAGCCAGGCGGCGCUUCAGGGGCGUGGCCUGUUGGAUCAGGAGGCUUCAAACUGCAAAUCUCGUUCUAAAACGAUUCGUCUCUUACAUCCGAACCUGCUGUGUUUCUGUUCGCAGAGUUGGGUUGCUUCUCAUCGUUUCGUUGUGUAAACGUGUUCUUAGCGUGUAAACGUGUUGUUGGCGUGAAAACGUGUUCUUAGCUUGUAAACGUGCUGCAUGCUGGCCUUAAAGCAGAGCGUGGUCACUUUAAGAGGGAGGCGGGAUUGUUGUAUGCCCCUCCCUCUCUCUGUUACCAUGGUAACUGUAAAGUGGGCGGGGCCGGCGGCUCCUGCAGGCUCUGAUUGGCUGUUUUCACUCAGGUACCUUGUAUUCUUGUAUGAGAAACUCCAGAAGGAGCCUGGAGAAGCUGCUGCGUCACCUUCAGAACAGUUUUCCAAAAUGCGACCAGGUAAAUUAGCUGAAUCGUUCCGACACACURGAAGCCUCUGAUCCACUUCCUGCAGCGCCGCCACUCAUCUCUGCCUGAAACGGUUUGUUUUCUCACUGAAGAUUGUUGCCUUGAUGCAGCGAUGUCCAGGGUGAAGUCAGGGCCCAUUCUUGGACACCAUUUGCCAUUGCCUUGUUUUUAUUUGUYAUUUUUGCUGAGUUCAAUGAUGUAAUGUGAUGAUGAAUCAUGUAAUAGCCUGUGUCAGUUUUUAUAUCAUUGCCAUUGCCUUCUGCUGAGUUUGUAUAUUUGUGUGAUUUCACUAAAAAGUGUAAAAAAACAAAACAGAAAACUUUAUACUGAA